AGCAUGCAAAUGUAUAAUAUAAACAAUUCAUUAUAUUAAACAAAUUUGACAAUUGAGGACCUGAUUAUGAAUUUCAAAGACUGAAUGCUUAGAGAAAAAGUGCAUGAAUAAAAACCAUGAUGACAAUAAAUAAUAUAUAAUACUCUAGGAACAAUAAAAUGUCUGCAAACUUAAGAAUGUGAUUAGUGUUAGUAGAAAUGGCUUCAGGGCCAUGGUCAUCCAAAUUCUAUAUCCUGUCUGAGAAAUGUCCCUAAGGGAUCUAGUGUAAUACAUAGAAUUGUCUCCUACAUUACAUCUUUCUUAAAAGCUUGGAGACAUACUCUCAAUCAUAUCCAAACUUCCUUAUGUGUGUGACAUCUGUUAUCAUAUCCUUUCUAUAUAAAUUCAUAUUUUAUCCUGACUAAUGAGCUCCAUAAUUGAACUAGACUAUGCAAAAAUAGCACAUCUUCUUACUCAACCCCAAACUGCCAUUUCUGUUUGAUGAUUCUCUUACUUCAAGGUACACAGCAUACUUCAUUUUCCUUGAAUCCAAGCUAUUUGACUGCUGGAUACAUAGAAUAAUGCACAUUUAAUGAGGAGCCAGGCCUUAAGAAAUGAACAGCUUCCACUUGGCUUCUUGGAAAACUCCCUCUCAGAACCCAGCCACCAUUCAAUGAGACAAAGCCCAACUUGCCAGUCGUGUGAGUGAGCCAUCUUGGAAGUGGAUCCUCCAGUCGCCAGGCAAGCUGUCCCAGAAGAUGAUGACUGGAACAAAGGCAAACUGUCUCUACCAAGCCCUGCCCAUGUUGCAAAUUCAUGAGCAAUACACACGAUCAUGGAUUGCCAAAGGGAAAGAACCAAAAUUUAAGGAGACUAAGUCUGAUGGAAGGCCUGGAAAAUCCACAAACUGGACAACCAGUGUUGUGUCAUUGAGAUAUGAAGUAUAAUUAUCCUGAAAGUCAGUGUGUGAAGAAUUAAAAGGAGACAUUAUGGCAGUGCAUGUAUUUCAGAGAGCAUAAAUUUUCUGGAAAGACUUAGAAUCAAAGCUGUGUUCUAGUAUUGUCAAACUGCCUUUUAGAAGCAGGAUCGAGGACACUGGUCAUUGAAACUCAAGCUAUUAACAGGAUGACAUCCUCACUCUUACAAUGUCACAGAGCUAAAGUUUUGAUUCACGUCGUGUGCCAGAUACCGGGUCACAUGCUUUCACACACAUGUUUUGCGUGUUCGUUAUAUCGUUUUUUUAGGAUAUGGUGUCAUCUCAUUCUUUCAUGGAGAAGUGUUCUUCUUGCCUGGAAGAUUCCUUGCAUAAACAUGAAAAAUAUAAGAAGAGUGUAAACAUUUUCCAAACCAAGAUGGCAAUAUUUUUCAAUGUGGCGUUAAAGUUUUGUUUUGUCAGUUACUUGACUGUGACAACCAUUCUGCCAUCAAGGCACAUUUGAUCAUCAUUUUGAAAAUAGUAAUGAUCAUAAAUGACCAAACGACUUAGAAAUUUCUUUUAGAAAAUGUCACCCUAAAAAUCUCUCUAAUUGCAAAAUAAGAUACUCAAGAUGGUCUAUGAGACCCCUCAAGACACUAGUGGGAGAUGGGUUAAGGGCAGCAGCAAAAGUGGUAGUAAUAAUAGAAAGUUAAUGAUUUGUUUACAGGCAUAUGAAGUAAAUA
ensembl:lncRNA